UGGGGAAUUUUUCGCAAUGGGCGCAAGCCUGACGAAGCAACGCCGCGUGGAGGAUGAAGGUCUUCGGAUUGUAAACUCCUGUCGACCGGGACGAAUGCACUCGACCUAAUACGUCGGAAUGUUGACGGUACCGGUGGAGGAAGCCACGGCUAACUCUGUGCCAGCAGCCGCGGUAAUACAGAGGUGGCAAGCGUUGUUCGGAAUUACUGGGCGUAAAGGGCGCGUAGGCGGCCUUGUAAGUCUCGUGUGAAAGCCCUCGGCUUAACUGAGGAUCUGCACGGGAUACUGCAAGGCUUGAGUUCGGGAGAGGAAAGCGGAAUUCCGGGUGUAGCGGUGAAAUGCGUAGAUAUCCGGAGGAACACCAGUGGCGAAGGCGGCUUUCUGGACCGACACUGACGCUGAGGCGCGAAAGCUAGGGGAGCAAACGGGAUUAGAUACCCCGGUAGUCCUAGCUGUAAACGAUGAUCGCUGGGUGUGGGGGGUUUUUACUCCCCCCGUGCCGAAGCUAACGCAUUAAGCGAUCCGCCCGGGGAGUACGGUCGCAAGGCUG
rnacentral:rRNA from 1 species